AGUGUUCUCAGAGGAGAUUCUGAGGAGAGAGUGAGCAACGAUAUCAACAUUGCAAUGCCACUCUACACCAUAACUGGACUAAAGGAGAGCAGAAGUGUUUUGAUCACGGUGUUUGCUGUCAACUCGGUCGGUCCUGGACAUCGUGUCACUUUAGGCACUUCAACAGCUGCAGCCAGAGUACAACCUGAUGUCACUGAUAAACCAACUUAUCAACCAAUACCUCCUGCUUUCUGCAAGUUGCCCAGUGAACUAGCGUGGGCUGUGUCUGUUGCAAGUACACUCACCCCAGAAAUUAUCAAUCUGAUGAAACUGAACUUCUCAGGAAACACUUCACUUAAUGUCACAUGCAGAGAAGGCCUGUAUGUUUCUGGUAACUGGUCACAACGCCAUCAACUGAUCACAUGCCAGAAAAGUGGAAUGUGGACAAAGGAAAUCUUCGCUUGCUCAGCACCAGUUGAUACCGCUGUUGGCCAUGGUUACAGUCAAUGCAGCUCCGACAUUUCAGUUGCAGUAUCUAUCAUAAGAGGUAUUUUCUUCGCUGCCAGUGUUGCCCUGAACCUCAUCUUCUUUUUCAAGGUCUACAAUAAGAAAUGAUUGUCUUGGCUCACACUUCUCCGUCAGGAAAUUCAAUUCUUCUCUCUGCAGACAAGACUCAUCUCUAGGUGCAGACAAUGGAACAAGGUCAUCCAAUGUCAUCCCGAAAAACACUUAAUGAUCUCUGCCGUCAUGACCAUUCCAAUGGGGCUAUUGCCAAAGGCAUUCGUACAACAUACAUACCACACCAUUUUUAGAUAGCGACUCAAUAACACAGUGUAUAUAAAUUCACUGUACAAUGUACACCACACAUUCGUGUAUAUCUCUCUAUACACAUUUACCAUACACAUUUACAAAUAGCGGAGUCCUCCGGGUCGAUAGCCAUACACAUUUAUGUAUAUCUAUCCAUACUCAUUCAGGUAUAUCUAUCUAUACACAUCUCGCGCCUUCUUUCCUAUUCCUGCUCUCAACCCUGUUUAAAAAAAUACUGUCCAGUUGACGAAAUCCCCUCUACAUGUAUUUCAUUCCUAUUCUGAAUGACUCAAGCCAUCUCCCAUACUGGCUGAUUUUCUUUUCAUGCCAUGAGGUGUUGUCUAUAAUAAUAAUAAUAAUAAUCCAGUCUAGCCCAUCAUCUCUACAGCACGUCUCACGGUUUUGUCAAGUUGUUUCUAAUGGCCAGUUGCGUUUUCCUGCAGCAUACACGAAAGUCUAGCUAUACAGUGUACAUUCUAAUUACCGAUUCUAUCACUUAAUGGCUGAGCUUUGUUUUCCUCCUUGG